CAAUAGCGUAUAUUAAAGUUGUUGCAGUUAAAAAGCUCGUAGUGUAAUUAGAGUGCCGGAGCGUCGGGUCCGACUUUAACUAGUUGUGCACUCAUUUCGCGUCCGGCCUUUCUCGCGGCGAACGUGCCUGGCAUUAGGUUGUCGGGUUCGGGAGCCGCGUCGUUUACUGUGAAAAAAUUAGAGUGUUUCAAGCAGGCAUACGCCUUGAAUACAUUAGCAUGGAAUAAUAAGAUAGGACCUUGGUUCUAUUUUGUUGGUUUUCUAGUAGCUGAGGUAAUGAUUAAUAGGGAUAGUUGGGGGCGAUUCGUAUUUAACUGUCAGAGGUGAAAUUACUUGGAUUUGUUUAAAGACGGACUACUGCGAAAGCAUUUGCCAAGGAUGUUUUUC
rnacentral:rRNA from 1 species